UUUAUGUCGGUUCUAGAUGCGUGGAUUUUUGCAGCGGCCGUGAAAACCGGCCCUUGGGGAUCCGAGCGUGAUAACUAAGGGCCUGGGUGGUACCUAGCGGGACAGGCAUUCCUUUACUGUGAAACUGCCUUUGUCCGUGGCAGACAUCCCCCAGCCAGGGUGCAGUAUGCCUCGCCCCGCGGCCUCGCCCACUUGCAGGGCUGCGAUUCCUGUGACUCAGCUUUCAGACCAGUGGAAGCCCUAUGCCCCACCCUAGCCCUCUUUGUCUCCUCGCUAGCAUUCUCCUAGACUUGACUGGGAAGUAAAGCACCCUUAAGUGAUUUUUUAAAAGAAAAAUUUCUCACUGAAACACGCCUAUUUUUUUUUUUCAAUGCUGUAAUUGUGAUGGGCAUCCAAACCAAAUAUCCGGAAUAUUUGCUAGUUGGUGGUUAAUUUUUCAGGGAUUUAUUGAGUACGUCGCCUCCCUCUUAGAAAAAUUAAGUCUCAAGUUCAAGCUCUGCUACUGACUUGCUGCCGGACAAGGGGGAAGUUCCUUUACUUAUUUCCCUAAAUUAUAAAAGUGAUUGCUAAGGAGGCCCUGGUACAAGGCCAAAGGCUGCGGUCCCAUUAUGUCUAAAACCUGAAUAUUAAAUUGAAAAGGCGAACUCUGUAUUUCAAAGGGACUGUUUUGAGCAGGAUUCCAUUUUAAAGUGCGUAUCUGAGUUACAUCCGGAAACAUGGGAGCUCGAGGUAGAGUGGAGCAGUUUUCAAAAUGGCACCUCUGUGAACACGAGGGACCCCCGCCCCUUGCGGCUGAAACAAGUUACAAAUACCAUGGGGGUGGGGCUGCCCGAGGCCGGUGAAGGGGAAAAAAGCCAGGUUGCGAAGGUUUUCAGAUAAAGCAGUUGGCAGUGCAAUGCUCCCCUACUCCUUCUCCCUCAGAAAAUGUUUCUAGAAACCACUUGCUAAUCUCAUUUAUGGCAGAGGCUUUUGUCUCACUGGGGAUUAAAAUCAAUUGUUGUAUAGACUCUUAACAGCAGGAGCACCUCCGACUUCCCCAUUUCUUCGUCCACUAGACUUCCUUCUUCGUGGUGGGGAGCAGGUGACCGUCUGGUUCCCCAGUUCCUGCUCUGCUGGCGGGCAGCCAUUCUGCUCCCGAACUGGGGGCACUGAGCCUUCAGGCAGGCACAGGAUGUCACCUCUCUGGUUCCACGUCCUUCUGACCUUCCCCUAGUUGACUGGUCGGGAUGCCUGCAGUGAUCGGCCUACUUGCGCAUCAGAACUGACUGGCACAUACCAAGGCCAAUGAAGGAACAAGCCUUUCCCAGCAUCUCCACCCACACUUCCCCAAGUCUCCCUGGAGCCUUCCCAGGGAAAGAACCUCAUAGGCAUCAUUUCCAUCAAAGCAAGAAGAUGAGGAGGAGGAUGUCAUCUUUUCACCCAAAGGCAACACAUGGAGCAAAUGAAAGCACCAGGAAAGAGAGAACUGAGUUCCAGCUUUAUGCCAUGCCAUUUUUAGACAGGAAUGAACUGUCUGAGAGGGUCAAGAUGAUAUGGACAACUGGAAUUCCCAGACACCACAAUGACCAAAUCUCACUUUAGCAAUAGAUUUAACUAAAUAUUUAAAAGUUAAUCAUAUUCUUCACAGAGGUAAAUAGUUAAUGUUCAUACGACCCAGUAAUUCUACUUUUAGAAUUGAAUCCCUGUUCAAUUGCUGAUAACAGUGCCCCAAAGAACUGAAAGCAUGUACUCAAAUACUUGUACACUGGUUCACAGCAGCACUAUUCCAAUUGCCAAAAAGUGGGAACAGUCCAAAUGUCCCUCAGUGGAUGAAUGGAUAAAUAAAAUGUGGUCUAGCCAUAUGGUGGAAUAUUAUUUAGCCAUAAAAAGGAAUGGAGCACUGAUGCAUGCUGCCACAUGGAAGGCCCCUAAAAACCUGCUAAGAAGCCAGAUACAGAAGACCAUGUAUUAUAUGAUUCCAUUUAUGUGAACCAUCCAGAAGAGACAACUCUAUGGAAAGAGAAAGGAGAUUAGAGGUUGCCAAGGAAUUGGGGAAGGAGGAAAAGGGUGUGGUGACUUAAGAGGUCCAAGGUUUCCUUUUAGGGUGAUGAAAAUGUUUGGGAACUAAUUAGAGGCAGUGAUUGCACCAGGCUGCGAAUGUGCUAAAUGCCACUGAAUUGUUCACUUUUAAAUGGUUAAUAUUAUGUGAAUUGUAACUCAAGUUUUAAAAUGAAAAAAAAAAAAGAAAGAAGAAAAGUGAAUCUAGUCCCAUUUCCUCACUCCGCAGUGUCUGGUUCUGAGGAAAUGGGAGGGGAGUCAGGGUGGAGUAAGCUUCAGGGGUUCUUAACUCUUUUUGUGCCAGGGCGAACUAAGGAAACCUCUAGACUCUCAGAAUUAUAUAAAUGCAGAAAACAAAAAAGCUGGGACCACGAAUGAAAGCAGUUCCAUUUCUAUACAGUUAGUGCAAGGGUUGUAAGCAUUGUGAUGUAGUGAUACACAUGCUUCUUUCUGCAUUAAAUAACACAAUUUAGGAGGAGGUCACAUACCCAGCAUAAUUCAAACUGGAGAUGAGUGUGUAGAUAAUCUGCGAAACGUGGACAUAUAUAAAAAUACCUGUGAUUUCUGUUGUUGCCACAAUCUCAGGAACUGCUGAUAACGGGUUCCUUGCUGUUACGGACAGAAUGUUUGAACGAAGGCAGGUGUCUAUAAGCCAGGAAGCGGGCUCUCACCAGACACUGAAUUUGCCAGCACCUUGACUGUGGACUCCCUAGCCUCCCAAACUGUGAGAAAUAAAUGUCUUUUGUUGGACUUCCCUGGUGGUCUGGGGGCUAACACUCCAUGCUUCCAAUACAGGAGGCCUGAGUUCAAUCCUUGGUCAGGGAACUAGAUCCCACAUACCACAACUAAGACCCGCCACAGCCAAAUAAAUAAACAUUAAAAAAAAUGUCUGUUGUUGAAGCUAAGAGAUGUGCCUCCACCUACCCUUGAAGGAAAUGCUAACACUCGGUUAGAGGUUGAUGCAAAUAAAGAUGUGAUUU